rnacentral:rRNA from 1 species
UACGUAGGGGGCAAGCGUUGUCCGGAAUUAUUGGGCGGAAAGCGCGCGCAGGCGGGCAUUUAAGUCUGGUGUUUAAGCCCGGGGCUCAACCCCGGUUCGCAUCGGAAGCUGGAUGACUUGAGUGUAGGAGAGGAAAGUGGAAUUCCACGUGUAGCGGUGAAAUGCGUAGAGAUGUGGAGGAACACCAGUGGCGAAGGCGACUUUCUGGCCUAUAACUGACGCUGAGGCGCGAAAGCGUGGGGAGCAAACAGG